rnacentral:rRNA from 1 species
UUGACCUCGGAUCAGGUAGGGAUACCCGCUGAACUUAAGCAUAUCAAUAAGCGGAGGAAAAGAAACCAACAGGGGAUGCCCAGUAACGGCGAGUGAAGCGGCAAGAGCUCAAAUUUGAAA